UACAGAGGGUGCAAGCGUUGCUCGGAAUUAUUGGGCGUAAAGGGCAGGUAGGUGGUCUUAUUUGUCUAGGGUGAAAUCCCUGAGCUUAACUCAGGAAGUGCCCUAGAAACGGUAAGACUGGAGUACUGGAGAGGGUCGUGGAAUUCCCGGUGUAGCGGUGAAAUGCGUAGAGAUCGGGAGGAACACCAGAGGCGAAGGCUGCGACCUGGACAGUGACUGACACUCAACUGCGAAAGCGUGGGGAGCAAACAGG
rnacentral:rRNA from 1 species